UACGUAGGGUGCAAGCGUUGUCCGGAAUUACUGGGCGUAAAGAGCUCGUAGGUGGUUUGUCGCGUCGUCUGUGAAAUCCCGGGGCUUAACUUCGGGCGUACAGGCGAUACGGGCAUAACUUGAGUGCUGUAGGGGAGACUGGAAUUCCUGGUGUAGCGGUGAAAUGCGCAGAUAUCAGGAGGAACACCGAUGGCGAAGGCAGGUCUCUGGGCAGUUACUGACGCUGAGGAGCGAAAGCAUGGGUAGCGAACAGGAUUAGAUA
rnacentral:rRNA from 1 species